AGCCCAAUGGGUUGGUGACACUACUGCAGCUCUUGGAGGAUCCCCACCCAGCCACCUGCCCCAGCCAGGAGCAUGGCUUUGGGAGGAAGAAGGCAGGCAGCAGAGAGAUCCAGAACGGAGGGCUUCGUGGGCCCCUCCCUAGAUUGCAAUUAAGACGUGUGAAUAAAGUCCCGUCCCAUCCGGGAGUUAGAGAUAAUCUAAUCAACCGAGAAGGCGAGGUCUGCCCGCUCCCUCAGGAGUAUAAAAGGAGCUGAGAGAGGCAUGGGCGACCCACUUCGGGAGCUGAGAGCGAAGUCACCAAGUGUGGGACUUUGAGACAGUGGAACCUACCCCAGGAGCCGACGGCGGGAGAGGGUGAGUGGACCACAGCGACCACAUCAACCGGCGUGUUGAAGGGAUCAAACGCCCAGCUCCUCAGGCCUUAGGAACUGUGAACAGUGGUUCUCUCUGAGGAGUGGGAUCUGGGGUGCAGGUGUGGGUGAGGGGUUUGUUUUUAAACAUACUCAUAGUGUUCGAUUUUUAGAACUGCGCGCAUUUCUUUUUCUAUUAAACAAAGUUCCAGUUUGUUAAGAAGUAAUCUGGAUCCUGCAUCUCCAGAUUACACGUGACCAUAUUUUACAGCCC
rnacentral:lncRNA from 1 species